GUCUUGAAACACGGACCAAGGAGUCUAGCAUGUGCGCGAGUCAUUGGGAACAACUAAACCUAAAGGCGCAAUGAAAGUGAAGGUCCGCCUCGCGCGGACCGAGGGAAGAUGGGCGGAUGUCCCUCAUACGAUGGCCCGCCCCGCACUCCCGGGGCGUCUCGUUCUCAUUGCGAGAAGAGGCGCACCAAGAGCGUACACGCUGGGACCCGAAAGAUGGUGAACUAUGCCUGGUCAGGACGAAGUCAGGGGAAACCCUGAUGGAGGUCCGUAGCGAUUCUGACGUGCAAAUCGAUCGUCGGAACUGGGUAUAGGGGCGAAAGACUAAUCGAACCAUCUAGUAGCUGGUUCCCUCCGAAGUUUCCCUCAGGAUAGCUGGCGCUCGUCGCCUACGAGUCUCAUCCGGUAAAGCGAAUGAUUAGAGGCAUUGGGGUCGAAACGGCCUCAACCUAUUCUCAAACUUUAAAUGGGUGAGAUCUCCGGCUUGCUCGAACUACUGAAGCCGCGAGACACGGAUCAGAGUGCCAAGUGGGCCAUUUUUGGUAAGCAGAACUGGCGCUGUGGGAUGAACCAAACGCCGAGUUAAAGCGCCUAAAUCGACGCUUAUGGGAUACCAUGAAAGGCGUUGGUAACUUAAGACAGCAGGACGGUGGCCAUGGAAGUCGGAAUCCGCUAAGGAGUGUUGU
rnacentral:rRNA from 1 species